AUGACAUGUCGUCACUAUACUCCUGCCAUGACAUGUAAUUACUAUACUCCUGCCGUGACAUGUCAUCACUAUACUCCUGCCAUGACAUGUCGUCACUAUACUCCUGCCAUGACAUGUCAUCACUAUACUCCUGCCAUGACAUGUCGUCACUAUACUCCUGCCAUGACAUGUCAUCACUAUACUCCUGCCGUGACAUGUCAUCACUAUACUCCUGCCAUGACAUGUCAUCACUAUACUCCUGCCAUGACAUGUAAUUACUAUACUCCUGCCAUGACAUGUAAUCACUAUACUCCUGCCAUGAAAUGUCAUUACUAUACUCCUGCCAUGACAUGUCAUUACUAUACUCCUGCCAUGACAUGUAAUCACUAUACUCCUGCCAUGACAUGUAAUCACUAUACUCCUGCCAUGACAUGUAAUCAUCACUAUACCGCAUAAUGUCAUUACUAUACCUGCCAUGACAUGUAUCAUAUACUCCUCCAUGACAUGUCAUUACUAACUCCGCAUGACAUGUAAUCACUAUACUUACUCCACAUCUAAUACUGCAUCGAUAUGGCAAUUACUUCAAAUGUCCUCUGGCUGUCUCUCCCAGCGAUCCUGUCCCCUCUCUUUAAGUCAGGACUGGAUGCAGUUCUCUUGAAGGCUCUUGUGUCCCUUCCUAGAGGGAAAGGAGAAAAAGAAGGGAUGAGCCACCAAAAAGUCAACGUGAGGGACUAUUGCAGACAAAUGAAAACCACAAAUGGUAGAAUAUAACAACAUACCGCCAUCCUCUCCUUUGUUGAGGGUCAUAGAGAACUACUUCUUUGGCAGUUUGGAAGGCUUUUUGUUCUUAAAUUCAACAGGGAACGGUUCUCUACCACUCAAAUGAGUCAUCAGUGGCAGUGCUAUUCAUCUCUGAGACUUUGCGGGUAGAGGAAGGGUUUUGGCGGGUCGGGGAGGGGUUUUGGUGGGUCGGGGAGGGUGUUGAGUGGGUAGGGGUGGGGUUUGUGCGGUUAGGGUUUGGUGUUGAGUGGGUAGGGGAGGGGUUUGGGGUUGCAAGGUGAGGGGUUCGGUGGGUAAGUAGGGGUGUAGGGGUGGGUAGGGGAGGGGUUUGGGCGUGUAGGGGAGGGGGUUCGAUGGGCAAGGAGGGGGUUGGGCGGCUAGGGGAGGGAGUUGGGGUGGCUAGGGUGGGGGUUGGGUGGCUAGGGGUGGGGGUUGGGCGGCUAGGGGAGGGGGUUGGGCGGGUGGAGGAGGGGCUUGAAGGAUGGCCCCAUCCUCCCUAUAGUCUCACUGUUGUGAUUGGAUCCCUGCCUUCAGGAAAAGCCUGAAAGAACUGCGUUGUUUCUUUCCACCAAGGCCUGGUGCUUCUGCGAACCUCCCUUCCCAUCCUCCUCAUCCUCCACAGGAGAACUGGGGGACUUCACAGUGACCAUGUCCAGUUCCACACUACUGCCCCCUUUGGCAUGGAGUAGCGUCGACAGCCGUUCCGUUCGAGUC
ensembl:lncRNA